rnacentral:rRNA from 1 species
GAACGCUGGCGGCGUGCUUAAGACAUGCAAGUCGAACGCAGCCGGGCCGCAAGGUCGGGCUGAGUGGCGAAUGGGUGCGUAACACGUAGGUGACCUGCCCGGAAGUGGGGAAUAACAGUUCGAAAGGACUGCUAAUACCGCAUGGGCUGCCUGGGGUUUGAGGCCUGGGCAGCAAAGGUUCGAGCAAUCGAGCCGCUUUCGGAGGGGCCUGCGGCCCAUCAGCUAGUUGGUAGGGUAAUGGCCUACCAAGGCAACGACGGGUAGGGGACCUGAGAGGGUGACCCCCCACACUGGCACUGACACACGGGCCAGACUCCUACGGGAGGCAGCAGUCGGGAAUAUUGCCCAAUGGACGAAAGUCUGAGGCAGCAACGCCGCGUGCGCGAUGAAGGCCUUCGGGUCGUAAAGCGCUUUUCGGGUGGAUGAGAGCGGACAGUACACCCGGAAUCAGGUACGGCUAACUACGUGCCAGCAGCCGCGGUAAAACGUAGGUACCGAGCGUUAUCCGGAUUUACUGGGCGUAAAGCGCGUUCAGGCGGUUUGGCAAGUCGGGCAUGAAAUCCUUCGGCUCAACCGGGGGAGGUUGUCCGAUACUGCCGGACUAGAGGGCAGUAGAGGGUGGUGGAAUUCCGGGUGUAGUGGUGAAAUGCGUAGAGAUCCGGAGGAACACCAGUGGCGAAAGCGGCCACCUGGACUGCACCUGACGCUCAAACGCGAAAGCUAGGGGAGCGAACGGGAUUAGAAACCCCGGUAGUCCUAGCUAUAAACGAUGUUGACUAGGUGUCGACGGUCUAAACCCCGCCGGUGCCGGAGCAAACGCAUUAAGUCAACCGCCUGGGGACUACGGCCGCAAGGUUAAAACU